CGGCGUGGAUUAGGCAUGCAAGUCGAGCGAGACCUGUAGCAAUACGGGAAAAGCGGCGAAAGGGAGAGUAAUACGUAGGUACCUACCCUCGGGUCUGGGAUAGCUGCGGGAAACUGCAAUUAAUACCGGAUGACGUCUCUGGACCAAAGGUGUGAUUCCGCCAGGGGAUGGGCCUUCGCCCUAUUAGCUAGUUGGUGUGGUAAUGGCGCACCAAGGCAAAGAUGGGUACGGGGUGUGAGAGCAUGCCCCCGCUCACUGGGACUGAGACACUGCCCAGACACCUACGGGUGGCUGCAGUCGAGGAUCUUCCGCAAUGGGCGCAAGCCUGACGGAGCGACGCCGCGUGCGGGAUGAAGGCUUUCGGGUUGUAAACCGCUGUCAGUGGGGAGCAAAUGCAUCAGGGUUCUCUCUGGUGUUUGAGCGAUCCGCAGAGGAAGCACAGGCUAAUUCCGUGCCAGCAGCCGCGGUAAUACGGAAUGUGCAAACGUUAUUCGGAAUCACUGGGCUUAA
rnacentral:rRNA from 1 species